rnacentral:rRNA from 1 species
ANNGGGGUANAAUUCCAGGUGUAGCGGUGAAUGCGUAGAGAUCUGGAGGAAUACNNNGGCGANGNNGCCCCUUGAACGAGACUGACGCUCAGNNGCGAAAGCGUGGGGAGCAAACAGGAUUAGAUACCUGGUAGUCCACGCGUAACGAUGUCGACUUGGAGGUUGUGCCUUGAGCGUGGCUUCGGAGCUAACGCGUUAAGUCGACCGCUGGGAGUACGGCCGCAAGGUUAAAACUCAAAUGAAUUGACGGGGGCCCGCACAAGCGGUGGAGCAUGUGGUUUAAUUCGAUGCAACGCGAAGAACCUUACCUGGUCUUGACAUCCACGGAAGUUUUCAGAGAUGAGAAUGUGCCUUCGGGAACCGUGAGACAGGUGCUGCAUGGCUGUCGUCAGCUCGUGUUGUGAAAUGUUGGGUUAAGUCCCGCAACGAGCGCAACCCUUAUCCUUUGUUGCCAGCGGUCCGGCCGGGAACUCAAAGGAGACUGCCAGUGAUAAACUGGAGGAAGGUGGGGAUGACGUCAAGUCAUCAUGGCCCUUACGACCAGGGCUACACACGUGCUACAAUGGCGCAUACAAAGAGAAGCGACCUCGCGAGAGCAAGCGGACCUCAUAAAGUGCGUCGUAGUCCGGAUUGGAGUCUGCAACUCGACUCCAUGAAGUCGGAAUCGCUAGUAAUCGUGGAUCAGAAUGCCACGGUGAAUACGUUCCCGGGCCUUGUACACACCGCCCGUCACACCAUGGGAGUGGGUUGCAAAAGAAGUAGGUAGCUUAACCUUCGGGAGGGCGCUUACCACUUUGUGAUUCAUGACUGGGGUGAAGUCGUAACAAGGUAACCGUAGGGGAACCUGCGGCUGGAUCACCUCCUU